CAGAGCCUUGGGCAACAUGGUCUAGGGUGAGGUGUCCCUGCCCAUGGCAGGGGGGUUGGAACUGGAUGAUCUGAACGUCCUUUCCACCCCUAUUUUAUGAUUCCAUGAUUCUCUGGAUUAAUUUA